AGGGACCAAACCCCGUGGACCUCCCUCGUUUGGAAAGAAGCCCAGCCCACAAAAAAACGUGCAUUCGGUUAACCCCCGUAUGGACCGUAUCCCGGUAUUUCCUCUUCGUUCCAGACCGAGAACCACGCCCGGUCCCUGCGGGGUGGAAAAUAUCUCACGCAAAGGAGCUGAGGCAUCACAAAUGAAGGGCACGAGGCGGCGGCGGUGGCGGCGACGGCUCUCCGGCGUUGAUCUACCCUGCGUCCGUGUUCUUAUAGGUCUGCUUCUUUCUCCCUAGGCUAUUGAAUCUCGCAAUACGCUGGGUGGUCCUUGCAGCACAGUUGGAGCUUUCCGUUCGCACUGUUAGCUCCGUCCGAUGAGGUCGCUCUGUUGGCCUCCAACGAGGGAGCUUUCUAUUCCCUUGCAGAGCAGCAGGUGAUGUCACUCCGUCCUAUUCAUUGCCGUGUGACCUGAUUGCCUCUCCUCUCCUGGCUGCCUGGGCGAGAUGGCUAGAUGGCGAAAUCUUUGUCCUCUUCUCACCAUGUUUAUCUCUGCCUCUGCGCUCUGUCUGCUUUAUCGUCGCCGCCGCGAGAAGCCCUUCCAUGUGCAUGUCGUCAAGCAGCAAAAAACAUUAAUGACGAGCAAGAUUGAGGACUGCUACUAAAAUUCAUCAGGUCACCGUAUCUAAAAUUUUGAAUAUGAUAUUGAUUAGAUUAAUAGGCAUAUCUGAAUACCGCCAUAACAUCCAUCCAAAGUUGCACUAGUAGCUCCCUGUGUUAUAUAUUUUAACAUUUGGUUUUCUUCCUUAAACGACCUGAAUCAAUGCCAUCUACCUAUCAAUUUAUAAAAACGUCUGAAAGCAUAGCCCUUCCCUUUUUAUUCCUUUCAUUAAUCACAAAUCUGUAUAUGGUGUAGUAGUAUUCUUUCUUUUUAAUAGUAAAUCUAACUUUACAGUGAUUUAAGGUCUCUUCUCACUUGAUUUUCUGCCCCAUCCAAGAAUACCAAGUGUACUUGUUCCACGGACACUAUGUAGAAGUAGAAUUUGUGUUGCAUUUUUAUUCAAACCAUUGUCCUCUCAUUUAACAUAUAAAGGCUCUAGGGCUUUCUACCACAUGAAAACAAUUUUAGCUAGGUGUGCUAUUGUAUAUGCAUUUUGUUGUAUUAAGAGAAUAAUUUACAGAUUAGCUUUGGCUUGAACUCUUUUCUGUUCUGACUAUAGCAUUGUUGGCACCCAAAUGAGGUUCAAUCGAAUAAUUUACAGUACCAUUUUUUCCCAUUGUAUUUAGUUACUACUUCAAGGCCAACUGUAUUUUAGUUAUAGUGUUUUCAAGAUUGUAGAAAUUUGUAGCUGAAACUAUCCACAGCAUACUAUGAAUUGACAUCAUUUCUGAAAACAAUACUGAUUAGGAUCUUUCACUUCCAUAAUGCUCUGCAGGAGUGGCCCCUCUGGAGUUGUAUGUGGAGUUGUAAACUCUCUUUUAUCCUAGAAGAGUUUCUAAGGCGCGGUAUAAGUCCAUGAUCAUAGACUAAGAGGAUUUGACUCUAAUUACUAUCCGUUUUAUUUAUGUAGUCCUAUGAGAACAUAGAGUAUUUGCACAUUGCUUUAUUAGUUUAUUAAAGUUAAAGAUUGUAUGUGAUGAGUAUGUAUCAACUCUUGUUGGAAGUGUCUUGCAAUUUCCAACCAUAUAUUGUGUGUGUAUAUAUAUAUUGUGUAUAUACAAUGGAAGCUUGAAAAUUGUGUGAACUUGAGUUCCCUGUCUAACCGAAUGCAUCAGAUGAGGCAGGGAAUUAAGUCGGUAUGGAAAUUAUCCACCGAGAGGAUAGAGUGUGCAGUCCGGGAUCCACUUGAACCCCGAGCGGAAAAAAUCAGCCUGGGGAUUAAAACCCGAACAACCGAACAUAGCCUUAAUGUGUUUGACAGUGAGAAAGGUGGGGUUUUUAGUUUACAAAUAAUUAUCAUAAACAAAUACAGG
rnacentral:lncRNA from 1 species